rnacentral:lncRNA from 1 species
GUUGUGUUAGCAAAGCUGUGGAAGGUGGAGGUCACGAGGGGACUGAAACUGGAAACUCAUGUUUGCCAAUGUGAGGUUGGUCUUGGUGACCGUGUGCAUGAUGUGACAUUUAUGUUUUGGGAAAUGUACUAGUCAUCUUAGGUGUUAUUCUCUGGUUCGUGCAACUAACACUUAUCGGGGCCCUUUUUAUCAGGGGGAGUUGAAUCCAUAUAGUUCUUGGGGGGUUUUAGGAUGGUAUAGCUACACAACCCAGGUAAAAAAAUUUUAAAUACAUGCUAAACCAUGUUCCCUCUCCCGGCAUGAUAUAUAUGUAUGUAUGUGAUUUUAUAUGGUUAUUUACCUUGGUUUUGAAUGACUGGCUUUAUUUUAUCUUAUCCCUGAGUACAUGCUAGCUUUCACUCC